rnacentral:lncRNA from 1 species
CUUGUAGAAAGUUAAAUGUUUUCUCUUUACGACUGUAGUAAGAGCUGUUUUUUGUUGAAUCUCGAAGUAAAGUAAACUGCAGUAUAAACUAGAAUGGAUGACAUAUGGUGACUAAAACUAAAAAAUAAACGCUGAAAGUAUAUCACAUGGAUACUGCAAAAUUUCCAUAAUUUGGCAACACUAUUUGCACAAUUAGUAAUUCACAGUUUAAUAAAUCACUUAUUAUUGAUUGCAUCAUGCUCUCCUCUGAAAUAUCAUGGACCCAUGACUGUUAACUGGCUAUCUUUGAUUCUACUUUCAGAUGUUGAGCUUUAUAUUGAGAUAAUACUAUUAUUAUUAUUUAAUUUUUAAUAACAUUGUAAAUCCUGUAAUUUGUGAUCAUGUUUUGCAAUUCAGAUAAUGAAAGUAAUAAUGAUUACAAUAUAAGCAAGUCCCAGACAAUAUUGAAAAAGAAGUUUAAAUAUCUGUGUUUCAAUAGCAAAUGGAAAAACACACAAAAGUGGAUUAGACAGAUAAAUAACAAAAACAAAGCAUACUUUACAAUAUGUAAAAAAAUUUAGUAUUAGGCAGAUGAUUAAAGAAUGUGGAAAACAUAUUGAAUGCCACAAAUCUAGGAUGUUUCCUGGGCUUGUGGUUGGUCACAUUAAUUCAGAUAUGGCAUUUAUUUUGUGUGUUAUAGCAAUAAAUCUAUUAAAUAUAUAUAAAUAUAUUGUUUUUAGUACUUGUUUUAAAAUUUACGUUAUUAAUAUAUUUUGCUGUAACACAUUUAUAUUUGAUAAGAAAUGACUAUUUUAUUUAUACUUUUAUAAUACCA